rnacentral:rRNA from 1 species
AUACGUAGGGUGCGAGCGUUGUCCGGAAUUACUGGGCGUAAAGAGCUCGUAGGUGGUUUGUCGCGUCGUCUGUGAAAUUCCGGGGCUUAACUCCGGGCGUGCAGGCGAUACGGGCAUAACUUGAGUACUGUAGGGGAGACUGGAAUUCCUGGUGUAGCGGUGAAAUGCGCAGAUAUCAGGAGGAACACCGGGGGCGAAGGCGGGUUUCUGGGCAGUAACUGACGCUGAGGUGCGAAAGCAUGGGUAGCGAACAGGAUUAGAUACCCUGGUAGUCCAUGCCGUAAACGGUGGGCGCUAGGUGUAGGGGUCUUCCACGACUUCUGUGCCGUAGCUAACGCAUUAAGCGCCCCGCCUGGGGAGUACGGCCGCAAGGCUAAAACUCAAAGGAAUUGACGGGG